GACGAACGCUGGCGGCGUGCUUAACACAUGCAAGUCGAACGGUAAGGCCCUUCGGGGUACACGAGUGGCGAACGGGUGAGUAACACGUGGGUGAUCUGCCCUGCACUUCGGGAUAAGCCUGGGAAACUGGGUCUAAUACCGGAUAGGACCACUGCCUGCAUGGGUGGGGGUGGAAAGCUUUUGCGGUGUGGGAUGGGCCCGCGGCCUAUCAGCUUGUUGGUGGGGGGAUGGCCUACCAGGGCGACGACGGGUAGCCGGCCUGGGAGGGUGAGCGGCCACACUGGGACUGAGAGACGGCCCAGACUCCUACGGGGGGCAGCAGGGGGGAAUAUUGCACAAUGGGCGCAAGCCUGAUGCAGCAACGCCGCGUGAGGGAUGACGGCCUUCGGGUUGUAAACCUCUUUUAGCAGGGAAGAAGCGAAAGUGACGGUACCUGCAGAAAAAGCACCGGCUAACUACGUACCAGCCGCCGCGGUAA
rnacentral:rRNA from 1 species